GCCUUCUUAGCUCAGUGGUAGAGCGUUGCAGUUGUAUGGACACAAGUAUGGAUGCCUGUUAUCACCUAAUAGUACAAUGCAAAGGCCAGCCGUUCAAUCUGGCUAGGAGGCA